CGAGAUUGUGCUGAUGAGGCAGUGGCUGUUGCUGCUGCAUUCAGAGCGAGAGGAAUUCGGCUCCGACUCCCGCGAGCUUGAGGAGGCUGUUGGCGAGAAUGCUGAUAGGGCGAACCUGUUAAAGCCGGGACGGCGCAUCAUGAGGCGAUGUUGUCAGCAACACACACGGAGCAAUGUUCACGUCUUGAGAAACACGGAACAACGCCGCGCUGCGCCAUUGCGUCUGUCAACCAGUCGGAGAUGCUGUGGUGCCACGGCCGCGGAGUAACUCCGCAAGCACAGCGGUUGUCCACUACCCCCCACCCUGAGCACACGCACACACUCAGCACUUGCACCCACGUAGUGUCCUGGCGGGGGAUAGCCUGGCACAUCGGGUUUUAAUCCGAAGGGCCCCUAGAGGGAAAGUCCCACAGUCACCCGGUGCCAGGAGAUUGGCCGACUCCCAUAGGGCAGGUUAUACUGCGAUGCCCUAAAAUUGGUUUGAAAUCGUAUGGGCGCAGAAAGAAAAAAAAUCCCUGGGCCAACCGCAAUGAGUUACUCACGACAUUGGGGGGAGGACGGAGGGCGGAAUAUUAAGCAAGAAAAGUGCCAGGGCCCUUCCAGACAAUGGGCAAUGAGGGACGAUGGGUGGCCGCCGCGCAGCACUCGAGGGAGGACGCGGUAACAGGGGGGGUAACCGCAGGUAAGCGCACGAUUGGCCGCGCGGUACAAUGGCACCCCGGGCCUUUGAAGUUAAGGGAAUGAAAAGAGUAGCCCGAGACAAUUUUGGGCUCUGGUCUUCAACCUCUGGGCCGUCAAGAUCCACUCCCUGCCAUCCUGCUUCCUCGAGCCGCUCGCAGCAUCCAUGUGAUGCCAGAGAGUGCUGCUACAAGGCAGCGAUAGGUAAAGUUUUCUCUCGUCCUUCUCCCUCCGACUCUCACUGUCCGUGGGACGCCGUGAGUACAGCUUCGAGGUACGUGGUAGUAGGCCUCGGCAAG